CUUCGCGCGUCGCGGUUGAGCGCGCGCUCCAUUUCGAAUUUCGAACGCGAUUCGCCAUUGUUUUGUUUUUAUUUUUAAUCUAUGCCGAUACACUUUUUUCUUUUCCCUGAUAUGUGAUCCGAAAAGGUUUCGAGUUUUGACAUUUGGGAUUUUUAUAAGCUGUGUUUUUUAAUCUGUGUGCGAUUGAAAACUGUUUUGGAUUUUACGAUGCUACAGAUCGAUGUGUUACUAGCGGAUUCAACAAACACACCUACGUGUUUAACAUAUGGCUGUCCAUGUGAAUAAGUGCAAAAAACCAUGGGGAAUAAAGAAAAAUGUGACGAAAUCAACGAUUUUAUACAUAAAAACAAUAAACUUGCUCUCAAUGAUAAACCUAAGGUGAUAAGUGAUGAACCGAAAAUGAUGAGAUUAGAUAAAGUUGUGACAAUGAAAACAAAAGUUACUAGUAGGAGUAGCAAUCCAUUAUUCCUUUUGCUGAGGAUGAUAAAUGGAGUUGCUAUAGUGAAGUGUUUAGUAUUGUUUUGUGUGGUGUCAAGCGUGAAUGGACAUAAAGAACAGAGAUUUGCUAUCGAGCCUCAAGAUCAGAGUGCGGUGGUAGGAUCCAGGGUGACUCUCCCGUGCAGGGUGGAGAACAAAGCUGGCCAGUUGCAGUGGACUAAAGACGACUUCGGACUGGGCACGCAUCGGCACCUGAACGGAUACGAGCGGUAUAAGAUGAUCGGGAGCGAUGA